rnacentral:rRNA from 1 species
GGCAAAGCUCAAUUUGAAAUCUGGCGUCUUUGGCGUCCGAGUUGUAAUUUGAAGAAGGUAUCUUUGGGCCCGGCUCUUGUCUAUGUUCCUUGGAACAGGACGUCACAGAGGGUGAGAAUCCCGUGCGAUGAGAUGACCCGGGUCUGUGUAAAGUUCCUUCGACGAGUCGAGUUGUUUGGGAAUGCAGCUCUAAGUGGGUGGUAAAUUCCAUCUAAAGCUAAAUAUUGGCGAGAGACCGAUAGCGAACAAGUACAGUGAUGGAAAGAUGAAAAGAACUUUGAAAAGAGAGUGAAAAAGUACGUGAAAUUGUUGAAAGGGAAGGGCUUGAGAUCAGACUUGGUAUUUUGCAUGCUGCUCUCUCGGGGGCGGCCGCUGCGGUUUACCGGGCCAGCAUCGGUUUGGAGCGGCAGGAUAAUGGCGGAGGAAUGUGGCACGGCUUCUGCUGUGUGUUAUAGCCUCUGACGAUACUGCCAGCCUAGACCGAGGACUGCGGUUUUUACCUAGGAUGUUGGCAUAAUGAUCUUAAGUCGCCCGUCUUGAAACACGGACCAAGGAGUCUAACGUCUAUGCGAGUGUUUGGGUGUAAAACCCGUACGCGUAAUGAAAGUGAACGAAGGUGGGGGCCCAUUAGGGUGCACCAUCGACCGAUCCUGAUGUGUUCGGAUGGAUUUGAGUAAGAGCAUAGUUGUUGGGAACCCGAAAG